UUAGAGACUUAAAACAAAAAAUGCACUUUUUUUUCCUUCUUCUCCAUCGAAAAAGCUUUGGUCUCAUCUUCGAUUCAAUCUUCCAACAUUUAUGAAACUUCUUACAAAGAAACCCUAAGAGCACUGCGAAUUCAAUACACGUACAUAUAUACGUACAAAGUGAGUUAGAGAGAGAUAUAGAGAGAGAGAGAGAGAGAGUGUGUGUGUGUG